AUAUUUUCUCGCGGUAUUUAUCUUCUCCCACGCGCGCACAGGCUUCUUGCUCCCUCGUGUCUUCCUCCUCUGCCGCAGCUCGCUUCCUCUCUGUUUGCCAUGCGCCCAGCCGCCCUUCCUCUUCCUCUCGACGCCCUGCUUCUCUCCCGCCUCGCGGCCGUGGAGCUUCCCUGCUGGCGCGCCCCCGCUCCCUAUUUGCCCCAUCUCGCGGCGUCCCAUCUCCCACGCUCAGCCGCACCUCUGCUUCUCUGCUCGGCGCCCUGUCUCUCUCUCUCUCCCUCGCGGCUUCCCUUCUCCCGAGUUUCCCCUGCCAUGGCACGCCUGCUCCCUAGCUCGCCGCUCGCCUAGCCCAGCCACCCCUCCUCUCUUCUCCCUCGCGGUACCUCUCUGUUGGCGGACGUUUUCCCAGCCGUGGAUCUCCUUGUGUGCCGCGCUCGUGCGUGUCCCAGCUUUUCCCUUUCCUGGCGCUCGUGCCCUGCUACUGCAUCGGCUCUAGCUCGUUCCUAUGGAGCCGGUCGCCCCUUCCUGCUCGCCUAAGCCAAGCUCCCAUGGCGCCGUUCUUCCCUGAGCUCCCUCACGUCGCGCCCCUGGCUCGGAUCUCUUCCCUGCGCUCACCGUGGCUUCCUGCUGCAGCUCGCCCCAGCUCGGAUCCGCUGCGAGCUCAUCGGACCGCGUCCCUGGAUCGCCCCAGCUUCCAUGGCUGCUCGCGAAUUCCCUCUGUUGGCCGCGUAGACCUCCUAGCCGCGGGCGGCUCUGGCCCAGGCUGCCGUCGCGCCCUCCCCUGCAAGCUGCCACGUCCUGGUGGCUGGUGUUCACUUACGUCGUCUCGACCUUCACCAGGUGCGCGUGCCGGCCAUCGGCCUUGCCAUGGCGCUUCGCUUCCCCCAGCAGCGCUCUCCUCCUCUACUCCAACCAUAGCCGCGCCCCUCAGCUCGCCUGCACGUUUCUCUGCUCGCCGGCGCGCCCUUCCUGCUGCCUCACUCGGUCUUCGUCUCUGUCGCGCCGAUCUGCGCUCGUCCGUGGCCGUCGAACACGCCCAGCUCCUUACUCGCCACGGCCUUGGUCGUCGCAUCGCUGUGUGCAGCGGUGGCGUGGCGGGUAUUGGUCGCGGGCAUGGUCGGGGCGACGCAAGAUCUGGGCACGCCGUCAUUUCAUUAUGCCUAGCGUCGUGCCUUUUAUGCCAGUCAUCGAUUUCUUAUUCACCACAACACCGUCAUCCCCUGCCGUGCCCUGGAUGUCGUGCUCGUUGUGGUCGGCUCUGGUGGUCGGCAUCGUCGACCGUCAAUUCCGUCAAUAGCCACGUUCAUUCGUUAUUGUUCAGUACUCCGCGAGAAAGAAAUCUAGGGAAAUCUGGGUGUUGAGCACCAAUUUGAGCGCGGACGGUCCGGCCCUGAGGCCGGACGGUCCGCGCGUGCGCAGAACAGAUUAGGGUUCCGAGUUUUGUGCUACGGUUGUUAGCUAAAAUCAUGGGAUAAGCUCGGAAAUUAGUUUGUAAAGGGUCCAGCCCCCCUCCUCUAUAAAUAGAGAGGUAUACGGCCGAUUUGUAAUCAACAAUCGAAUCAAUACAACUUCUAUUCGCAUUUAUUUCCAGUACAAUUAGGAGUAGUUCUAGUCUAGUUCUAGUUUAGCCUCUCGAUCCCCAAAUUCUCCGCCUCUCGUCGACUCUACGCCGAUUAGAGGAGUCUAGGUCGGCCGGCCCGAGCCUAGACAACCCCUAGGAUCUCUCCUCCCCGACGGGGUCCCUCCCGGGAGCGAGAUCCAGGCGCCGCCGGCGAUCCUCCGCCGCCCCUGCGCACGCGCGGACCGUCCGGCCACCAGGCAGGAAAACCUAGCCCCUGCGCCAGGUCGCGGACUGUCCGGCCCCAGGCCGCGGACCGUCCGCGCCUGACCAGAGAGCGCCGCCGCCGGUUCUUCUUGAGUAAUUGGCGCUCCGAAAAGGCGUCAACAUACUUUUUGGCGACUCUGCUGGGGACAACACAUAUAGACCUAUCAAAUCGGUCCUCAAUGGCUGGUUCAAAGGAUAGCUCUGAGGUUUCCACCAGCAAUAUCAUCACACCGACAUGGGAAGCCUUGCCGGCUGAAGAACAACUCCUGUUCGAGGAGCGCCAGGAGCAGCUGGUCCAAGAAGCAAAGGCAAAAUUCCUGGCUGACUUCAAAGUGGACAGGAACAACAAAGUCGUUCGGCAACGGGCGACAGAUCUGGCUUCGCUCCGACCUACUACGAUUACCCCAAAUGAGGACACGGAGCCCUUCCCAAUGAAUGUGAUCGACUUUAAUGGCAAAAAGGUCCUAAUUCGGCCCAACACAGCCGAUAAGGACAAAGACAAAGAAGUCAUCAUCGGCAACGCACGGGAGGCCGAUGGAAACAACAAAAUUUCUUACAGGAAAGUGAUGGCCGAGAAGACUCCUGAUGGAGGGGAGACACUGAAGGUAACCAUCACAAACUCCAGCGCUGGGGGGCAAGCACAGACAAGGGGAUAUGCGCGAGAACCCAUACUACGCAUCGCGGACGGUCCGGUGUCUAGGCGCGGACGGUCCGUAACAUCCCCGGACGGUCCGAAGCGUUCCGGCGGACGGUCUGGCAACGUCGAAGAGCCGCGGCGACCACGUACCUUCAAACCACGACGACCAGAAAUAGGUACGUGGAAAACUAACACGUUCAAGGCAACUGGUCGGUUGGUAAAAUUUAGCCCGACCUUUGAUCAAUUAUUGUCUAAAUAUGUGAAAAAGAAGGCUGGCUCCAGCGACCGGCCACCAAAGGGACCUCGCUUACCCACCCAGGUGCGACGGCAGGUUAGGCCGAUUGGACCACCACACCAAUCGGAAAGGACGGGAGGUCAUAAUGUUCAAUUAAGACCUAACAUACCUGCAUGGACACCUCCACCACCAUAUCUAACUAUGCCAUAUUCAUACACAUACAUACCUCCACCAUACGUCCCAAAUCAAAUGUGGGGCAUGCCACCAUACCCACUUAGGAUGCCACAGUACCCCGCUUGGGGGGCACCCCAAACAUCUGUAUUCAAUAGGUUGACACCUCCAGUACAAGACCGAUUGAGAGCCCCUCAAUCUGGUCCACAAGCACAGGCCCAGCAAGAUUGCCGAACAAUUCGGCCCCAAAGGCUGACUAAUCCGGCAGGGGGGCAUACAGCUACAACCUCCAACAGUACGAAAAAGGGAGACGUCAUUAAAAUAGGAACGACAGAUGUCGUCGUACAACAAAAUAACGAAGGGCCAAUGAUUUUUGGUGAAUCGGCCAACACAAACAAAAAAGAAAGUACGACUGUCAAUAAAAUAGCCGAUCCAAAAUACUCCAUGCCCCGAUGGUGCCCAUCGGGAUUGACACGAUCGCAAAAGCGAAAAUUACAGCGCCUUAGAGCAAAGGAGAAUCAGGAGAAGGAGGCGAAAAAAAUAUUCAAUGACACACAUCCGCAGUAUCCGCCACCACAAAAGAGAUGGAGACCAAAGGCCGUUGAGGAAAAUCAAACGGCCAUAAAGACAGAAAAUAAAACAGCAACUGUGCAGCUCUUUGCAGGUAUAGCAGACAGUCCGGCUAUAAAGAUCGGACCAACCGUACAGGGCGCGGACCAUCCGACCCUUGAGGUCGACUCAUCCGCAAUAAACCAUGACACCUGCAACGACGUGCCGACACCCAUGGAGGAAGAUGACCUGCAAGGAGAAGACCUGGUCGACUACGAAGCUACGCCAGAACACUUAGAAAAUUAGGAAAAGCUAGGUGACGGAUUGGUUAGGAUCAGUAUGAUGCUCGACGGUGUUGGGACCGACAGUUCGAUCAAAGCUAAAGGGGUCACGUCCGAGACCAAGACCACUGCGUACCAUCCUAGUAAGUGGCAAGAUGCCUAAGAAAACCGGUGUGAUAACAUCGAGUUAGUUGCUUUUGGUUCGCUCAGCUCCACCAAAAGGCAGGGGGGCAUAUGUUGAGCACCAAUUUGAGCGCGGACGGUCCGACCCUGUGGCCGAACGGUCCGCGCGUGCGCAGAACAGAUUAGGGUUCCGAGUUUUGUGCUACGGUUGUUAGCUAAAAUCAUGGGAUAAGCUCGGAAAUUAGUUUGUAAAGGGUCCAGCCCCCCUCCUCUAUAAAUAGAGAGGUAUACGACCGAUUUGUAAUCAACAAUCGAAUCAAUACAACUUCUAUUCGCAUUUAUUUCCAGUACAAUUAGGAGUAGUUCUAGUCUAGUUCUAGUUUAGCCUCUCGAUCCCCAAAUUCUCCGCCUCUCGUCGACUCUACGCCGAUUAGAGGAGUCUAGGUCGGCCGGCCCGAGCCUAGACAACCCCUAGGAUCUCUCCUCCCCGACGGGGUCCCUCCCGGGAGCGAGAUCCAGGCGCCGCCGGCGAUCCUCCGCCGCCCCUGCGCACGCGCGGACCGUCCAGCCCCAGGGCGCGGACCGUCCGGCCGUCAGGCAGGAAAACCUAGCCCCUGCGCCAGGUCGCGGACCGUCCGGCCCCAGGCCGCGGACCGUCCGCGCCUGACCAGAGAGCAC
rnacentral:misc_RNA from 1 species